AUGCCCACCCCGCCUCAUAUUGUGCCGGAAUGGUAUUUCCUACCAAUCCAUGCCAUUCUUCGCAGUAUACCUGACAAAGCGGGAGGUGUAGCCGCAAUAGCACCAGUUUUUAUAUCUCUCUUGGCUUUACCUUUUUUAAAGAAAUAUAUGUGCGUAGUUCAAGUUUUCGACCGAUUCACCAAGGAAUAUUUUGGUUGCUUUUAGCGGAUUGCUUACUACUAG
rnacentral:rRNA from 1 species